rnacentral:rRNA from 1 species
ACUCCUACGGGAGGCAGCAGUGGGGAAUUUUGGACAAUGGGCGAAAGCCUGAUCCAGCAAUGCCGCGUGAGUGAAGAAGGCCUUCGGGUUGUAAAGCUCUUUUGUCAGGGAAGAAACGGUGACAGCUAAUAUCUUUUGCUAAUGACGGUAGCUGAAGAAUAAGCACCGGCUAACUACGUGCCAGCAGCCGCGGUAAUACGUAGGGUGCAAGCGUUAAUCGGAAUUACUGGGCGUAAAGCGUGCGCAGGCGGUGUUGUAAGUCUGAUGUGAAAUCCCCGGGCUCAACCUGGGAAUUGCAUUGGAGACUGCAAGGCUAGAAUCUGGCAGAGGGGGGUAGAAUUCCACGUGUAGCAGUGAAAUGCGUAGAUAUGUGGAGGAACACCGAUGGCGAAGGCAGCCCCCUGGGUCAAGAUUGACGCUCAUGCACGAAAGCGUGGGGAGCAAACAGGAUUAGAAACCCGUGUAGUCCC